GAGCGGCUCGGGUUCCGCGCUGCCGGCAGGGCUUGGGGGCGCCUUAGAGCCGGACCCCGUUUUUUCAGGAAAGGGCGCUGCGACCACCCCCGUCCCGGGCCUCAGCCCCUCUGCUGCAGACCCUCGGGAUCGUCGCUGGAAAGAUUCUGAAGCUCGGCGGAGAGGGGUGUGUGAGUGGACACCAGUGAAGUAACGGUUUUUGUGUUAACGAUGAUUUCUGUUUUCCUCUGCUGCCCUGUAAUGGCAGGAACUCGGAUAGUCUGGUCUUCAGACCAGGAGGACUCCCAGGAGAGAACGGAGAGCCAGCGUGCUGUGUGUCACGGUCCCUGGAUGAACGUUUGUGGAACUGGAUUGAAUUAAACAAGACGUGCAAAGCAAGUGGUUCACGAGGGUCUUGCUCCGUCGCCCAGUCUGGAGUGCAGUGUUAAGAUCUCUGCUCAGUGCAGCCUUGAACUCUCAGGCUCAAGAAAUCUUCCCGCCUCAGCUUCCCAAAGUGCUGGGAUUACAGAUAUUUAUGGAGCAUCCCCAGCUGCUGGAUGCUGG
rnacentral:lncRNA from 1 species